GUCGAGAAUCUUCCGCAAUGGGCGAAAGCCUGACGGAGCGACACCGCGUGCAGGAUGAAGGCCUUCGGGUUGUAAACUGCUGUCACGCUUUAGGAACGAACAAGCGUAAAUAGCGCUUGGACUGACCAAGGCGAAAGGAAGCACCGGCUAACUCUGUGCCAGCAGCCGCGGUAAGACAGAGGGUGCAAACGUUGUUCGGAAUUACUGGGCAUAAAGAGCACGUAGGUGGUUCGCUAAGUUACGUGUGAAAUCCCCCGGCUCAACCGGGGAAUUGCGCGUGAUACUGGCGGACUCGAGGCGGGUAGGGGUGAGCGGAACUCCAGGUGGAGCGGUGAAAUGCGUAGAUAUCUGGAGGAACACCGGUGGCGAAAGCGGCUCACUGGACCCGAUCUGACACUGAGGUGCGAAAGCUAGGGUAGCAAACGGGAUUAGAAACCCGGGUAGUCC
rnacentral:rRNA from 1 species